rnacentral:lncRNA from 1 species
CUACCAUUAUGUUCAAUUAAAAUGUACCAAUAAAAAUGUGGGAAAAAAAGCAAAAAGAAAAAAAAGGUUUGAGAUUUAAUAAAUCUUAGAGUUUUUGAUAUUGCCCUUAUAAAUGACAGGACUAGCGCUGUGAUUGUUCAGCCUAUUAUGUUUUUAACAUACCUUGGUAUAUUUUUUUCUUAACAUAUUUAAUGUCAGGUAUAAUCUCUAAGGUCUCUAACUUUAAAAUCCCCAAAUUGUUUGCUUGGAUUCAGGGAAAAUAAGUACUGCUAUAAUAUAAUAGUAGCAAGUGGUUUCAGUUAUAAGAUGAAAGCUUCUCAGAGUGAUGCUUUCUCCUUUAUUCCUCCAUUUAACAAAUUUCAUGGCAGAAGAUUCUGAACAAUUGUGUGAGUAAAUAAGUGGAACUAUCAGUGCAUAGCUCUUAGGUUACAUCUUUUGGAUUUAUUAUCUCCUUGGUACAUUCUGAAGACCUUAUAAAAGCUAUUAGAAAUCCACACAAAUACUACAUUAAUUCCAAAGGUUGGGUAAAUCAGACCCAGGAAUCUGCAUUUGGAAACAUCCUCCAAGUGAUUCUAAUGGAGGUGAAUCAUGGAUCUUUACUUUGAGGUCUUUGAAGGUUCUGGCCUAUCUCUAGAGUAAGGAUAUGACUUUGAGAGCUCAUGCUCUAUCAAGGUAAGCAGAGACAUAGAAAUUAUUUCUAAUACAAACAGAUAAGUGCUAUAUGGGCAUAAGAUUAUGUGGAAGAAAGCUGUAUGUGACAGGAUUUUUUUUUAAUUUUACAAAUUAAAAAAAAUUAAUUUUUUAACUUUUAGUUUUUAAAUUUUUUUAAAUUUAAAAGUAGCUGAAUUUUUAAAUUUUUAAAAAUUUUUAUUAGUUGUUGAUGAAUUUUUAUUUUAUUUUAUUUGUAUGUGGUGCUGAGAAUUGAACCCAGUAUGUCACACAUGCUAGGCAAGCACUCUACCACUGAGCCACAACCCCAGUCCCAAGUAGCUGAUUUUUAUAAUAUAAUUUGUUUGCUAGAAGAAUUUUUUUACCUUAGUUGAAUAGACUUCUUGAUUGACACUAUGGAUUAACCCAUGAGAUUGAUUUUGUCUCAGUUUACAUACAGUAUUUAAUGCUUACUGAUGAUACAAAUAAACAUUGGUUAUUUAUUUACCCUUGUUAGUAUUUUAUCCUCUUCUAGUUUUGCAGGUGAUAAUCCUCUGAAACAAUCAAUGGUUUCCAAAGAACAUUUUUGCUUUUAGUAGAAUGGAAUUCACAUGCAUGAUAAGAUUGGCCUCUCUAAUGACAGUAAUAUCAGUGGGUCUAAGCUUGAGAAAGUGGUACAUGAAUUCUCCUUGUAUAGAUUUUUUUCUUAGUCUUCCUUCAUGAAGUGGGUAAAUAUUGGACAUGUGUUAUUCUUUAUUAUCUUAUGUGUCAUUUAAAAAUAUGUGGGAAACAAUGUUUCUGAUUUUUAAAAAUUAUAGACCCAAUGAAAAAAUAAAAUCACA